rnacentral:misc_RNA from 1 species
CCGGGAGCGUCCUCAGCACACACACACACACACGCACACGGGCUCUGUGUCUCAUCGAACACAGCGGGAGACGAGACACAGCUAAUCAUAGCCCAUCCCCUCCCCCUACCUCCUUGUCUUGCUUCAUCGCAUGACUAUCUGUUUCUGUGCUCGUUAGUUUCUGUCACUUCGUUGCUGUUGUUGUGUGCGCCAGCAUACACACUAGCGAACGUUUCUAUCGCCCCCGUGGCACCCUGGAUCAAGACGCGCAUUGACAAGAUGGCGGCUGCUCGUCAAGAAAUGGCAGAUCUGCUGCGUGAGGUGCAGAAACUUCAGAAGGAGCUGCAGCCUGUGCGUUCUGCGGUGACCGCACUUCAGAAACGGGAGGCAGACACGCCAAACGCUGCGGCAGCCGGGGCCUCCUUGAAGAAGGUUGCCACGCGCCUCGAAAGCGUGAAGCAGAAGUACAAGCCGUAUCUGACUCGCCUGCAGGAACUGUUGCUUGAUGAGGUGCCGUCGUACCUGCAGCAGACACCGCUGCUGGCGGCAGACGUGGAGUCUCUGGAGCAUCGCCCAGGCGGCGCGCCUCGUGGUACUUGCAAUGCCGCAAACGAGCGGCUGACCGCGGGCUCCUCGUCGUCUGUCACCAAGAACACAAGCGACGAUGCAGCUCACCUUCUCCAGCAGGUCUGCCCGCCAUCGACCCCGCACCUUCUGCAACCCGAAAACCUCCGCUUCACCCACCAGCAGCUUCGCCUCCGCGCGGAGAUGGUCGAGUACUUGAUCGAAACGAACCGAGUCGACAUCGCCGAGCACCUUGUUCGCGAAUACGGCCUUCCCCUGCAGUGGUUUCCACGGCUGGUGCUGCUGCAUCGCGAGCGCAUCUUUGGUGCGGCUGCAGAUAGGGUGGAGUCGUCGCAAACCGCCCCGCCCACCGGUGCGGCGGCAGGCGCAACUGUGGCGGCUGUGGCUGUCGGCCACUCGCGGUCGUUGCCGGCCUCUAGCGCCUCUCCGCCGGUUACGCCAGCGACGCGGCCCCGUGUCGCUGCGGUUCCGCCGAAGUCGCCAAUUCAGCUUUCAUUGACAGCCUCCCCGAAGAGCAGCGUGGCUGGUAUACCGACGCCUUCCCUGCCACGAUCUCCAGCCCCGCAGCCUACGCCAGCAAGCUCAGUCGUCGCCAGCACCCCUGUGGGGCAGCACUUGAGCCGGAGCGCACCCUCACCUGCCUCUUCUGCCCACUCGCCACCCACCCCACAGCAGCAACAGCGGGAGAGCGGGGCGGCAAGCGUGUUCCCGUCACAAGCACCGUCCAAUACCGGCACCGCUGGUGCCGCGACUGCUCCUGCUACCAUGCCAGAUCUUGUUGCUCGCGUCGUGAGCACAGCCAUGUACUUGAAAGACGAGUACCUGGAUCGCAUGGUGCUGGAACGCACCCUGGAGCAACACCUUGGCACCGCGCCGUCCUCGGAGUCGGCAAGCGCUACAUCGACUCGUGGCAACAGCACGCCACCGCCGUCCUCUGCGACGCCGCUAGAACGCUACAAGGCGUGCGUUCUCAGUCGCAUUGCUAACAUACCUCGCCACCACCUGCACACACAGUCAGGCGACGACGUCUUCGACAGCGCCAUAAUGAACAUCAUCGAGGAUCUGCUCGUGUACGGCUUGCAGAAGUGGGCAGAGGUGGAUGCCGUGACAGCGGCUGACGCUGAAGAGGCAUCUGCAGAGUCCAGGAAGAAAGCAGAGCUGCAGCGCACGCUGACCACGGACACCCUUCUAACUCCGCAGGAGAUGCUGCUGGCAGACAAGGUAUGGAGCGAGGAGAUUCUUCUCUUGAAGAGGCCCACAAGGUUCUACUGCGUGGAGAGCGGCUUGACCACGGACGACGGGGCCGCCUCCGCGCUGGCGAUGCCACGCGCGCGCACCAGUGGCGAGGUGGUUUCGAAGUGCGUCGCCAUCAACCAUGACGCUCUCGACGCGACCGUGGGCAUCUUCAUCACUUGAGGCGAGAGCAUCGCGCAGAGGCGCACAGUCGCACAUGCACCUGCACGACGAAGCGGACGCGCACGCUUGGAAAGCGCGCGCAAGAAGCGCCUGAUUGGUGUUGAGGCCUCUCGUGGCUCAGUGGCCAUGGCUUUGUUCGGCUCUUUCUUUGGCUGAUGAGAGCAGCCGCACUUUCUUUUUUUCCCUGUGCGCGUCUGUGAGAAUGUGUCUUGGUGCGCGUUGCGGGACUGAGGUGUCUGUGCCAUACGGUGCGUUGUGGUGCCGUGGGGGCAGUGGCGGUCGUUGAUCUCCUUCCUCUCUUUGAUUCCACUAGCUGCGUGACGCUUCCCGUCGUAUACACACACGGGCACAGGGCACGUGCGCACGCAUGCGGUUGUUCGCGGUGCCGCGCACUGUUGCACUUCGUCGCUCGCCUCUGCGCACGUACACCUACCCCCCCCCAUCCCUCUCCUACGCUGGACAUUAUUCGGUUCUGCGGAACGCGUCGGCGUGAGCACGCGUGUUUGCGUUUUUCUUGUCUCUCCUCCUUCUAUGUCAUUCCCUCUACCUCUGCGAGCGCCUGCGCGGGUGCCACUGCUUAGUCUCGUCGUUCUGGCGCUCCAUCGCGCCUUCUCUCCCCUGUCGCAUUGCUGCCGGUGAUCGUGCUCCGGCAACGGCCUCUCUCUCUACCUAAAACGAAAGGGGUCCGGCUUCUGCAUCUGCCUAUGCGUUCACGGCGUCAUCAGUGACGCUGCUCGAACUGCCCCCAGAAAGGCACACGCGAGCGCAAGCGUCAAAUACGACGCCGCUGUACAGCUGUGCCAUGUGCGUGAGCUUGCUCGAGCGCAUGUCAAAAGGCUUCAUUGGGUCAUCGAUCGCGAACCGUAGCAUCACCAACACAGCGAUGGUACUCGACUUACGAUGACUUGCCGAAAGCCUCCCACGCCUUGUGCUCGUUUCUCCUCUCGAAUUCUCGUGUAAUGGUCGAUCCGUUGAGUGUGUGUGUGUGUGUGUCCGUGAGAGAAAG